UGUGGAGCCAAAAUGGCCCCCUAAACCGGCGUAUGCUGCAUUUGGGUGGGUCGGUGAUGAGGGGUGACGAAUCAGACGUCAGCGGAGGUGGGGCUCGGACCUGAAGCCCAAAAAGACACUUCUUCUUCUUGAUCUCCUUUCCAGAGACAAACCUGGGGUGACAUCGCAGAAACAGUAUGUGCAGUCUGGUGUUAGUUCUUAAAAUGUCAAAAUCAUCACCUUAUGUAUGUUUAUGUUCUCUUUCAUGCUAAUGAUGAUUAUAACGUUAUGUAACAAAUGUACUUAUUCUCCUGAUGAAAAAGUACACUCAGGGCUUUGCCUGGAGACAUUUGCAGUUUUGUGACAGCAAGGUUUUCUUUUUCUUUUUGCAAAAAAUUUAAUUAAAAAACAAUAAAAUCAAUUAAAUCUC